rnacentral:piRNA from 1 species
UGUAGAUAUAGUUUUUCUACUAGGCAGC